rnacentral:misc_RNA from 1 species
AACGCACAUUGCGCUCCCCGGCAUUCCGGAGAGCAUGCCUGUUUGAGCGUCAGUAUUCUUCUCAAACCCUCCCUGUGGGGUGUGUUUGGUGGUGGGCCUUUGCGUCGAACGUUCCUGGAACGUGCGCGACGCUGGCCUGAAAUGGAAUGGCCGGGUCGCUGUCCCUGGGCCUUCAGCGUAAUAAGUUGAAUUUACUCCAACGGCCUCGCUGAGUAUGCCCUGGACAAGAGGACUUUGCCUAUAAGCCCCAACUUUUGAUAUCUUGACCUCAAAUCAGGCAGGGAUACCCGCUGAACUUAA